rnacentral:rRNA from 1 species
CCUACGGGAGGCAGCAGUGAGGAAUAUUGGUCAAUGGCCGGAAGGCUGAACCAGCCAUGCCGCGUGAAGGUCAGUGCCCUAUGGGCGUUAAACUUCUUUUGUGCGGGAGCAAUAAUGGUCACGUGUGGCCAGACGAGAGUACCGUACGAAUAAGCAUCGGCUAACUCCGUGCCAGCAGCCGCGGUAAUACGGGGGAUGCAAGCGUUAUCCGGAUUUAUUGGGUUUAAAGGGUGCGUACGCUGUGAGGUAAGUCAGCGGUGAAAUGCCCCCGCUCAACGGGGUGAAGUGCCAUUGAUACUGCCUGGCUGGAAUGCGGAUGCCGUGGGAGGAAUGUGUGGUGUAGCGGUGAAAUGCAUAGAUAUCACACAGAACACCGAUUGCGAAGGCAUCUCACGAAUCCGCGAUUGACGCUGAUGCACGAAAGCGUGGGUAUCAAACAGGAUUAGAUACCCGAGUAGUC